ensembl:lncRNA
UGGGACUGUACUUGGGCGGUGGGGACUCCUCUCUGAGAUUUGAAUGAUAAGAAGGAGCAGCUAUUGCAAGACCAUGGGGAGAACAUGCAGGAAGGAGAGAACUGGCUUGCUCCAGGCAAGGAGAAUGUCCUGUGUGUCUGGGACAAGACUGAAGAGAGAAGCAAGAGAUAAGAGCAGUCGUAAGAUUGCCUGUGGGGUAGGUAAGAGGAAUCAGGCCACCCCAUCCUUGAGGCAGGGAAAGCAUACUGACUACUCUGGGACCAAGAGGAUAAUGACUUCUUUUUCUCUUCUCUGCCCCCUUUCUUCUUUGUCCUGACGAUUCCUGAGGUUCUGCGAAGCCACAGAGUGAAGACUCCUGGGACUGAACUUAAGGUGCC